rnacentral:rRNA from 1 species
GACGAACGCUGGCGGCGUGCCUAAUACAUGCAAGUCGAGCGAAGCGGCGGAUGGGUGAGUAACGCGUGGGUAACCUGCACUUAAGUCUGGGAUACCAUUUGGAAACAGAUGCCAAUACCGGACACUUAAGGAUGGACUUGCGAUGCAGGAGCUAGUGGGUACGGUAACGGCUUACCAAGGCGAUGAUGCAUAGCCGGGCUGAGAGACUGAUCGGCCACAUUGGGACUGAGACACGGCCCAAACUCCUACGGGAGGCAGCAGUGGGGAAUCUUCCACAAUGGACGAAAGUCUGAUGCAGCAACGCCGCGUGAUUGAAGAAGGUGUUCGGGUCGUAAAGCUCUGUUGUUGGUGAAGCGGUAAUCAACCAGAAAGUCACGGCUAACUACGUGCCAGCAGCCGCGGUAAUAC